rnacentral:lncRNA from 1 species
GGGAAAGGUUGAACCUCCUUGUAAGGGACCUUUCAAGGUACCACUAACAAUCAAAGCACUGUUAAAAAAAAAAAAAACUAUUGCUAACUCUGGAAUAAGUUAUUGACAGCAGCUUUCCCAGGGAUACAGAUCUGUGUUGGUGCGUUGGCACAGGAAGUGAUGGGCUGUUGCAUUGCUCUGGAUUUCUCAUUGGCUUUACAUGGUGGCAUCUGCACCAUUGCUGUUACUUCUUUCUGAUCUUGGAUCAAUGAACAGGCUAGACAUCACAUUAAGGAGACCGAUUUGCUCCAUUCUUCUGCAUGGCUACCAUUUCUUAUCAGAGAUUAUGAAGAUGAUAUAACAAGAUCAUGUGCUACAGUGUACAUGAACAAUGGAACAUUCCCCACAUGGUGAAGACUGCAUCUCUAGUGGUCCCUGAAUUGGCCAGCCUCUCUCCAGCAAGAGAAUACCAGAAGGGGGAUCCAUAAGCACACAAGCGGAAGAUGGCCACACUACUGAGCCACAGGUCUGGCUCACACUUCCACAGCAACCAUCCUGGAAGCCAGAAGGCGAUCUGUGCAACAGUCAUCUCAGACAUGGCCUGAACUUGGUCAAUCACUGCAGCUCCUCUGUCUUUUGCCCCCACUCCCAACUCAGGACCAACCAUGGAAAGUCACAUAUCUCCCUGAAGCAGUCACAUGAGAUGUCCUGCUCCCAGCUAGGUCAGCCCAGCUUUCCACGCCAACAGCACCCAACCUGGGCACACCUGAGCUUCCUUUCAUUAUUUUUUUCCAUUGUAAAGGUGUCUCACUCCCUGCAUGCAUUUGGAUGUCUGCUGCAGGUGAUGAUGGCCGAUGACUUGGUUAUAGGAAUUUCUGAAUCAUCUCUGACUGCUCUUAUUUGAAAGGCCUUUAUUUCCACAUGUGCAAAGCCCUUUCUCUUCUAGAAAAGAAAACCAAGUCCCAGAGAAGGUCAUUGAGGUGACCUCCAAAUGUCUUGGAGUAUUUGGCACAGAUUCCUGUCCCCCUCUUCUUCCUUAGUAAUUGUAGCUGAGCUCACUCCUGCUGUGUUGGACAAAGACUUUGGUUUCCAGUCUCCUCAACAAGGAGUCUAUAAAUGGGAGUGAUACACUGCAGUUGUUUAUUGAGGAAUGUCUGUAAUCUUCAUGUUUGUUACAUGUUUAAUUGAAAAAUAAGUGAAGAAGGAUUUUUGACUGAUUUGUUUGAAGGUGGG